UUGACCUCGGAUAGGUAGGGAUACCCGCUGAACUUAAGC
rnacentral:rRNA from 2 species